rnacentral:rRNA from 1 species
GACGUAGGGUCCGAGCGUUUGUCCGGAGUUACUGGGCGUAAAGGGCGCGUAGGCGGUUUCUUACGUUCCACGUGAAAGCCCCCCGGCUUAACCGGGGAGGGUCGUCGGGGACGGUGCCGCUUGAGGGCGGGAGAGGGUGGUGGAAUUCCCGGUGUAGUGGUGAAAUGCGUAGAGAUCGGGAGGAACACCUGUGGCGAAGGCGGCCACCUGGGCCGACCCUGACGCUGAGGCGCGAAGGCGUGGGGAGCGAACGGG